rnacentral:lncRNA from 1 species
GAAAUUGGACCAAUGGAAAUUAUGUUCAGUGGCUUGCAGAUGUACCUAAUUAACCAGCCAGAUUAGAAGGGUCUAGGAUUCCUUUGUAAGGCGCAGCAAAAAAGACAAUCAGAUACAAUAUCAGGGAUCUUCUGGUAAGGCUUCUGGCUACCAUUAGUUCUGAAUAGAGAGGAUUUGAUGAGAAAAAUGGCUGUGAGUUUUGAAAUGUCUUUGAGGUAAUUAUAGAUAUAUUCCCCAAAAUCAUUUAAAAGGAAUUGGCGACAAUGCAGCGGUAGCUACCGGAUCCCGUGCCUCGGCAGGUGAAGCUACCGGAUCCCGUGCCUCGGCAGGUGAAGCAGCCACCCGUAAUGCCACUGCAAGCAUCACGACUGGCCCAAAUACCUUAGGUGGAGCAACCGGAUCCCGUGCCUCAGAAGCAGUCACCCACAAUGCCUCAGCAAGUGUCACGACUGGCCCAAAUACCUUAGCUGAAGCAACUGGCCAUGGUGCCUCGGUAGUGG